ensembl:lncRNA
GGCAGCGCUGGGGACACCGGGGCCAAGGGUCUCCUGCUGGCUCCUCACUCCUCAAUAACGGACGUGUUGCUGCCAAACAGCCGCCGUGUGCCUUACGCUGAGGAGCUGGGCAGUGUCCGGCCACAAAAGAGGCAGCUCCCUGCCGUGAUGAUGCUCCUCGGAGGUGCUGGCGUAAUUUCAGGUUGCACUAGGGCUGUUUCGGGCUCAGAAAUAUGCUGGGGCACGGGAGAGGUGCUCGAGCUUCCCCGUGCAGACAGAGAGGCUCUCAUUUUUGAGUUGUUUUCAACAAAUUAGGAGUUCAGCUAAAAUACAACCAUGGCCGGAGGAGGCAAAGCCCCUGGGAGGCUGUCAGUGCCCCUGUGAUCUGCCCCCGGUCCAGCGCUGGAUUAAAAGCACUUUUGCCAAAAACAAUUUCCAUAAAUCUCUAGCCAAAAUUCGUAUUGUUUGCCUAAACUAUUCAGUGAUGCGAACCCGGUUAAUUAAGAAUAAUCAGCGUCUGCCUGUGGUGCUUGUAGCGCAGAAGUUCUGUUUAUCCUGGAGCUGGCCCCGGUGUGUUCCCCUCGGCUGGAGGCGACCUCGUAAGGCGGUGGCAUCAGACAGUAAAAUUCCCCAUGGAGGAGCACCCGGCCGCUUCACGGGGGGACCGCGGAGCUUCCAGACUUCCCAGGGUGGAUGAGACAUCUCCAGCUCUCUUACUAAACCCUUCCCUUCUCUCCAUGAUGCGGAUGAAAGAUUCCCUCGCUUCUUCCAGCUCAGACGCGAUUUUCUUCUCUGCUUGCGCCGAGCCCUUGCUGAAGCUGCACGUGGAGACCAGCGGCUACGGGACGAGGGGCUGCAGCAUCUUGGACACCAUCGUCCUCACCUCUGCCGUCUACCUGGACUUCGACCCCGUGGCCACAAGAGCCCUUCCCCUUCCUUAUGGUCACCUUGUGUAAAUAAAUCCAUCCAGACCCAAAGGAGGGGGCCAGUUCUGGCCGAUACCUCUAACAGCGAGCGCCCCCCAGCACUUUGCCGUGGCCCAAGAGGGGCUGAUGCUUGCAGUAGCUCAGAAAUCAAGGUGAAAAAUGAGUAAUUCCUGAUUUUCUGAUGGACUCAGCCGUCAUUUAUUUCCCCUGUUUCUCCUUCCCCCACAGAGGGGUGAGAUUUUCUUUUUUACUACAGCAGAGCAGACACACAAACAAAAAACCCACCCCCACCACCCUGUAAAACCCAGGUCACGUCCUAUUCUUGGUCGGUGUGUAUUUUUCUCUCCAGCACGCCAUCUCCUACUUACUAUUCUCCUGACAGCUCUGGAGGUUUGUUUUUCAGCAAGGAGCUUAUGUGGGCAAUGAAUGCUCCGCCAGCAUUUCUGCGUGUGAUUAAUUGGCUGGGUAGCCCACCAGAAGUGGGAUGUUUAUGGGCACAGGGCUCUUAUAACGUUCACUUCUGAGCCUUCAUUCCACUGGUUUGGAUCGUAAACUUCACUUAUCACCAGACUUUUAUAUGUUAAUUAUUCUGUGUCACCGGGAGAGGGGACAUGGAGAAGUGCAUGAAAUAAUGAGUGGUUUUGGCGUGGUGAAUCAGAUGCUCCUGUCUGGGCUGGCUGGUAAUAAAGGGGCAUGCGGACAUGUGGCA